rnacentral:rRNA from 1 species
AUUAAUUUAAUGGCUGCAGUAUUUUAACUGUACAAAGGUAGCAUAAUAAUUAGUUCCUUAAUUAGGGACUGGAAUGAAGGAUUGAACGAGAUAAAAAUUGUCUCUUUUUAAAUUUUAUAAUUUUAUUUUUAAGUUAAAAAGCUUAAAUAAUAUUAAAAGACGAGAAGACCCUAUAGAGUUUUAUAAUUAUAAUAUACAUAAAUUUUAAAAAUAAAAUUUUAUAUAUAUAAUAAUUAUUUGAUUGGGGUGAUUUUAAAAUUUAGAAAACUUUUAUAUAUUUAACAUUUAUAUAUGAAUAAUUGAUCCAUAAUUUAUGAUUAAAAGAUUAAAUUACCUUAGGGAUAACAGCGUAAUUUUUUUAAAGAGUUCUAAUCGAAAAAAAAGAUUGCGACCUCGAUGUUGGAUUAAAAUAAAUUUUUGGUGUAGAAGCUAAAAUAUUAGGUCUGUUCGACCUUUAAAAUUUUACAUGAUCUGAGUUUAAAUCGGCGUAAGCCAGGUUGGUUUCUAUCUUUAAUUAAAUAAAAUAUUUUAGUACGAAAGGACCAUAUAUUUAUAAAGUUUAUUUUUUUUAUGAUUAAUAUUA